rnacentral:rRNA from 1 species
UACGGAGGAUGCGAGCGUUAUCCGGAUUUAUUGGGUUUAAAGGGUGCGCAAGCGGCACGGCAAGCCGGCGGUCAAAUCGCGGGGCUCAACCCCGCCCAGCCGUCGGAACUGCCGGGCUAGAGUGGGCGAGAAGUGCGCGGAAUGCGUGGUGUAGCGGUGAAAUGCAUAGAUAUCACGCAGAACUCCGAUUGCGAAGGCAGCGCACCGGCGCCCUACUGACGCUCAGGCACGAAAGCGUGGGUAUCGAACAGG